rnacentral:rRNA from 1 species
GUAGGUGGCAAGCGUUGUCCGGAAUUAUUGGGCGUAAAGCGCGCGCAGGCGGUUCUUUAAGUCUGAUGUGAAAGCCCACGGCUCAACCGUGGAGGGUCAUUGGAAACUGGAGAACUUGAGUACAGAAGAGGAAAGCGGAAUACCACGUGUAGCGGUGAAAUGCGUAGAGAUGUGGAGGAACACCAGUGGCGAAGGCGGCUUUCUGGUCUGUAACUGACGCUGAGGCGCGAAAGCGUGGGGAGCAAACAGGAUUAGAUACCCUGGUAGUCCACGCCGUAAACGAUGAGUGCUAAGUGUUAGGGGGGUUUUCCGCCCCCCUUAGUGCUGCAGCUAACGCAUUAAGCACUCCGCCUGGGAGUACGGCCGCAAGGCUG